UUUCCGUAGGUGAACCUGCGGAAGGAUCAUUAUUGAAUGAAACACUUCUGGCUUUAUGCUGUUGUGCUGGCCCUUUGGGCAAUGUGCACACGGCUCUGGUCACUUGUUUCUUCUGUUCCAUCUGUGCACUGCCUGUAGACACGCUGUGUCUAUGAUAUUUGUUAACACACAACAACGUUAGUUGGCAUGUUAUAUAUAAUAAUAAAAUAUACAACUUUCAACAACAGAUCUCUUGGCUCUCGCAUCGAUGAAGAACGUAGC
rnacentral:misc_RNA from 1 species